UACGCUGGCGGCACGCCUAACACAUGCAAGUCGAACGAAGUAGCAAUACUUAGUGGCAGACGGGUGAGUAACAUGUAGGUAUCUACCCUUUGGCCUGGAAUAACACGAGGAAACUUGUGCUAAUACCGGAUAAGUCUUUACGGAGAAAGCUUUAUGCACCAUUGGAUGAGCCUGCACUUGAUUAGUUUGUUGGUGGGGUAAUGGCCUACCAAGACUGUGAUCAAUAGCUGAUUUGAGAGGAUGAUCAGCCACAUUGGGACUGAGACACGGCCCAAACUCCUACGGGAGGCAGCAGUGGGGAAUCUUGCACAACGGAGGAAACUCUGAUGCAGCGAUGCCGCGUGAGUGAAGAAGGCCCUUGGGUUGUAAAGCUCUUUCGUCGGGGAAGAAAAUGACUGUACCCGAAUAAGAAGGUCCGGCUAACUUCGUGCCAGCAGCCGCGGUAAUACGAAGGGACCUAGCGUAGUUCGGAAUUACUGGGCUUAAAGAGUUCGUAGGUGGUUGAAAAAGUCAGUGGUGAAAUCCCAGAGCUUAACUCUGGAACU
rnacentral:rRNA from 1 species